rnacentral:rRNA from 1 species
AUUCCAGCUCCAAUAGCGUAUAUUUAAGUUGCUGCAGUUAAAAAGCUCGUAGUUGGAUUUCGGGCGGUUGACGACGGUCCGCCUCUGGUGCGCACUGCCGUUCUUCCGCCUUUCUGUCGGGGACGUGCUCCUAGGCUUCAUUGUCUGGGACACGGGUUCGACGUGGUUACUUUGAGUAAACUAGAGUGUUCAAAGCAGGCAUCGCCUUGAAUAUAUUAGCAUGGAAUAGCACGAUAGGACUCUGGCCUAUUUUGCUGGUCUGUAGGACCGGAGUAAUGAUUAAGAGGGACAGUCGGGGGCAUUCGUAUUUCAUUGUCAGAGGUGAAAUUCUUGGAUUUAUGAAAGACGAACUUCUGCGAAAGCAUUUGCCAAGGAUGUUUUCAUUG